rnacentral:lncRNA from 1 species
GCGGUGACGGUGACAACAGCCCCACGAUGACCCCGAGGGACAACACCCGGCGCUUCGCGUCACCCGCGCCGAUGUCACCCUUCGAGCGUCACCCAUUUGUCACCCGUUUCAUUGUCACCAUUUUGUCACCCCUUCAGUGUCACCCUACUACCAUCACCCGCUUGUCACCCUUUCGGUGUCACCAUUUUGUCACCCGUUUCGCGACCACCAUUUUGUCACCCUUUUGGUGUCACCAUUUUACUGUCACCCAUUUGUCACCAUUUUGUCACCCCUUCCGUGUCACCCUUCUACUGUCACCCGCUUGUCACCCUUUCGGUGUCACCAUUUUGUCACCCGUUUCGCGACCACCAUUUUGUCACCCUUUUGGUGUCACCAUUUUGUCAACGCUUCAGUGUCACCAUUUUACUGUCACCCAUUUGUCACCAUUUUGUCACUCCUUCAAUGUCACCCUUCUACCAUCAC